CUUUAAAGCAAGAGAGUCCAUACUUGGAAUGUUCCAGAAAGCUCUUCCACCGUUUGAAAUGAAUCAAAAGGAAACUAUUCAUCUGGAAACUAUAGCUGCUUUGGGUGGCUUCGGGAAAUGUGUUGCUGAAUUGUUGUUAUGAGCAUCCAAGCUCCAACUGUGACAGUCUGCUGUCUGCUGUCUUCCACCAAUGCGGGAUGAAGGAACUCGCUUCAAACUUGAAAUGAUGACCCAUUCUCCACCAUGAAAUCUGGAAGUGAGCUUUCUAUAUUACAUACGAAGGAGUGUGGAGUGAAGUCUCGGCAUAAUGAUAUGUAGAGCUUAUGAUAUGGUACCUAUAAUGAAGUACCGUUAUCAUCUUCAUCUUUGGUCUCCUUGGCCCAACAUGUUCACGAUGGUUGUGAAGGAAACGAAGCCAUGAGAUUGCACCCCGCUGAUGCAACUUGAGUUGCAUGGCAUGGGUAAACGCCAUCAAAAAUGAACGGCCCAUGAUAAAGGUCAACUUGUUCACGCGAGGUGAUUCGAUAGAUAACUAUAAGGAUGUUUUGCACUGAUUUGAUACCCAUCGGAUCUGUUACAGGCUGUUAAAAUAUAAACCGAGAUUUCGUAAUGAGAUCUAGUCGACCUAUUGGCGUGUGUUGAGAUGUCAGACAUUUAUGGGGUGUUGGUUUGAAUGAUAAUAAAAGUUUCCUAAGAUAUUAAGAUGAGAUAAUGAGAAUGCUAAGUGGACAAGGUAGAGCUGAAAAUUUGUGGUAAGUCCAUCAAUAAAAUACAUGCACUGAUGCUGUGAUUACAUUUUGAUUAUAAAAACAUCGAUUUUAA